rnacentral:lncRNA from 1 species
AUGACUCCUCAGCCAUCCUAUCAGCUGUCCCGUUCUCCAGACACAUUGGGAACAGCACCGAGUCCAAUGCAGCCAUUUCCAUUUGCACGUAUUGAGACGAAGCAGCAAGGUUCAUUUGGGCAGCCAGAGUUCGCUCCAACAGUCUCCUCACAACAGGUAGGAUGCAACAUGCCAAUAGAGAAAUCAGAAUUAACAGGGAUUGUGGUAGUCAAAACAUCAGGGAUUACAGUAGUUAUAGCGCUAGUAGUUAAAACAUUAUUUGGAACUGUGGUUACACCAUCAAGGAUUGUAUUUGUCUUAGUUGUGGUCAAAACAUCGCUUGGAAUCGUGGUUGUUACACCGGUUUUAACAACUGCUAAGUCGAAUGCAGGCAAGGAUGCCGACCUAUGUUGCAUCCGACCUGCUGGAUUGUACUUAACUUGAUCAUGGUGUGUUGCCUCGCCGUUGACCAAGUCCUUUGGCUUAUGCUCUUGUGAUGGGUCGAUGAGUUGCUCCUCGGCCAUCAUCUCCAUCUUCACCUCCUCCAGCACAACCAUCAGACCCCCACGUGUUAUCCAAAACAGAACAGAUAUCAGGCUUAGCAUGCCCUUCUUUUCCUCGGCCAUCAUGCCGUUUGGUUAAGUCAGACACAUUACUUCCCUGAGUUUUGUCUUUGACUUUUGUGCAGUGUGUCAGAUGAUGCUACGUCGAUCCUCCUUCGACCUGGACUGCUGUUGGCGUUGCUCGAACCACUUUGUAGGGACCCCCUCACCGCAGUUCGUGCCACCUCCUCCUGAAAACUUUGAUGUACACCUGGUCUCCAGGAACUACCGGCCCGUCUGCGCCUGCGCUAGAGACGAGCUCCUUUCUCUUUUCCUGCAAAUAGAUGGCUUUAUGGAUGCUGGUUAGUUGCUUGAUAUAGCUUUUGAAUUCAAGCUCUAGCUGCUCCAACGAGGGCCCCUUGUGGGGUCUUCUGAGCUGAGGAGUUGGAAUUGGCCUGCCCAGCGCCGGCGCUCCGCACACCACGCACAGCGCGUAGGGCACCACGCCGGGGAAGGGGCACCAAACGCAAGCUUAUGAAAAAAUAAUAUAUAUAUGAUAAAGACAGAUUUCAAUUAGAAGAUGUGCAAAGCAAGUUAACAGCAUGUUUACAGAGAGAAAACAAUACAAAAAGGAAAGGAGAUGGACCGUGUCCACUUUUCACUCUCUGUCCGGACGGGGUUCUUGUAUUGAUGAAAAUGUCCGGCUUUUCAUCCAGGAGCAGGGAUCGAAUUAUGGGGGAGCUGUAUAUCCUACACAUCCAGGGGAGCCGGAAAAAAGUUUUCUACCUAUAUUACAUCAUUUAUGGACUCUUUGGAGCAGAGAGCGACACAGCGCUGCGUUGUUGCGCAGCGCUCCAGGCUGCUGCUUCCAGCGCAUGGUCCAUUCUCAAAGUGGCGCAACCAAAAAACUAUAAUUAACACACGAUCGUUCAUGUCCGCUCAUGUUCUCUACUUUCUGUCUUAUUUGUGCCUGGCGCUCUGCUACUGCGGAGCUCAUCACCUGCACUGCGGGGAUUUCACCUCACUGACGCAGCAUCGAAUGGCGCACUCCGCUUUGCGGUCAGGAGAUCCCUUUGAUCUGCUCAGAAGUAACUGAUGAGGUGAAAAAGUAAGAAUCCAGGCAGCAGAUUUUCUGGAGAGUUUAGAGGAGAUGCAGGAAGAUGAGAGACAGACAGGACAGGAAAAUAGUUCAAUAAAAACAAGAAAACAAAACAAAGUGUUGAAAAGUAAAGUGUAGGUAGAUUUAUCUCCACUACGUGUUUCUACCUGUAUAAAACAAUAAGUUACACACAUGCAAUAUUUAUAUAUCUGAUACAAUUCAGAUCACCUUCAAAACUCAGUCACACACCCAGGGCCGUUUCAAGACAUUUUGGGGGCCAAGGCAAAAUGACCCCCCCCCCACUGCUUUGUGAAUAAAACCAGGGAGCCAACUUCCUGUCCCCAAUUACCUUCUUUUUUAAAGGGGCAACAUAAUCUAAUGCCACGCGUAAAAAGGAAGUAACAUUAUGAACUAAAGCAUCAUUAUGUGAAGGGCUAGAAAUAAAAAUAUUGCCCUCUGCUACAUUCCUCUGAGAUGCUGAGGACAGUAAAGAUGGAACAGUUGAUUUAAAAGAUGCAACUGCAUUGUCAGAUAGAGACAGACUACAGUGAAAUUUACUUUCAUGUCUCGAGAACUCAGUUAUAAAAAAAACUCAAAGGUUAUCAAAAAGUGGUCCAAGAGGACUGGAUUAUGUGGAAAUAUUGUUAUUUCCUCACACUCUAUGCCAUAAGUCAGCACAAGGUCUAAUGUAUGAUGGCAGGAGUGGGUGGAGCUAUGUAUUCUUUGAGUAAAACCCAUUGAGUUUAAAGAUAUUACUAAAGGCUACAUUGAGGCUAUCAUUUUCAAUGUACACAUGAAUGUUAAAAUCCCCCACUACAAUGACCUUAUCAGUAUUUAGCACCAAAUCCGAUAAAAAAUCAGAGAUCUGAUCCACAAACUCAGAGUAAGGGCCAGGUGGAUGAUACAAAACUACAAACUAGAGUGGUUUUACAGUUUUGCAAUCUGGAUUAGGAAAACUAAGAAUAAGAUGCUCAAAAGAACUGUAACUAUUAAUUGGUAUGGGACUGAUUAAUAGCUCUGAAUGAAAAAUGGUUGCUACUCCUGCUCCUCACCCUGUACUUCGAGCAAUAUGAUGAUUUAAAUAAUUAGAAGGAGUCGACUCAUUUAAACUAACAUAGUCCUCUUGCUGCAUCCAGGAUUCUGUGAGAGAGAGCAAGGACAUCUGAUUAUCACAAAUCAAGUCAUUAACUAAUAAAGUCUUAGAAAAAUAGACAGCCAGGAAACAGCAUUUGUUGUAUUUUUCAAACAGGAAGUGGGGGUGGAGUCAGACACUGGUAGGUGGUGACUUGCUCUUUAAUGAAACCGGCUUGUUGUUCAGAUGUAACUCUGACAAAGACACAUCCAGUGAUGAAACGUUAGCUUCUUUUUUUACUUGCACUGAAUAAACCUUUGCUCACCUGCGUUCCAGCCUUCCUGUUUUUGAUUCUUAGUGUCCAUCGGCUGUGCAGCACCAUUUUCUGAGUGUGUGAUGCACAGACUCAGUAGCGGUUUUAGGCACGGGCAGACAGGGCAGUUGCCCGGGGCGGCAUUUUUUCAUGACACAAAAGGGGCGCACAAGCGCGGAGUAAAAAAAAAAAGGAAAUCUGCGCCGCACCGAGGUUUUCUAUUAUCUGUCAUAUGACAGUGUCUGGAUUGGAAACAGCAAGUUGGCGCCCCCUGCAGCUGCAGGCGCUCCUGCUGACUGAGAACGUUCACGUGCACCGUGUGUCUAUGAAGAACAGGAAGGGGAGGGGUGCGGCGGGGGAAUUCACCUCUGCGUCUUUCCCAAAUGAAAUGAGCGUGCAGGGGCUGAAUCAACUGUAUUAACAUGGCUAAAGUCAAUCACAUCUUAACGUUCUUCCAUAUUUCAUUCAUAAUAUCAUAAACACAGGCCUAUCAUUCUUUCAGGUUUCUCUGAAUUGUGUGAAAUGGCCGAAUAAAAAAAGGAAAAACAAAACGAUUUUGUGGUCAC